rnacentral:rRNA from 1 species
AGUGAUGCCUAGGAAUCUGCCUGGUAGUGGGGGAUUCGUCUUCGAAUGGAACGCUAAUACCGACAUACGUCCUACGGGAGAAAGCAGGGGACCUUCGGGCCUUGCGCUAUAAUAUGAUCCUAUGUCGGAUUAUCUAUCUGGCGGGGUAAUGGCCUACCCUCGGGACCAUCCGUAGCUGGUCUGAUAGGAUGAUCGCCCACACUGGAACUGAGACACGGCCCAGACUCCUACUGGAUGCAGCAUGGGGGAAUAUUGGACCAUGGACGAAACCCUGAUCCAUCCUUGCCGCUUGUGACAAGAAGGGCUUCCGAUUGUAAAGCUCUUUAAGUUGGGAGGAACGGCAGCUGACUAAUACCUUGCUGUUUUGACGUUACCAACUCAAUAAGCACCGGCUAACUUCGUGCCAGCAGCCGCGGUAAUACGAAGGGGGCAAGCGCUAAUCGGAAUUACUGGGCAUACAGCGCGCUCAAGCGGUUUGGUAAGAUGGAUGUGAUAUCCCCGGGCUCUACCUGGGAACUGCAUCCCUAACUGCCUGACUAUAGUACGGUAGACGGUGCCGGUAUUACCUGUGUGACGCCGAAAUGCAUACAUAUACGAAUGAACACCAGAGUCGAAGGCGACCACCUGGACUGAUACUGACACUGAUGCGCGAAUCCGUGUGGAGCCACAGGAUUAGAUACCCUGGUACUCCGCGGCGCAUACGAUGUCCACUANNCGUUGCGAUCCUUGAGAUCUUACUGCCGCCUCUACGCGAUANGUCGACGCCUGAUGAGUACAGNGCAAGGUAAAACUCNAUGNUUGAUGCGGCNGCACAAGCNCUGCAGCAUGCUGUNNAUUCNAANAACGAUAACACUNACUGUCUGUNUNCCGUACNUGCGAGAUANNGGUGCUAUCGAUCNAA